rnacentral:rRNA from 1 species
UCAUGGCUCAGGAUGAACGCUAGCGACAGGCUUAACACAUGCAAGUCGAGGGGCAGCAUAAAGUAGCAAUACUUGGUGGCGACCGGCGCACGGGUGAGUAACGCGUAUGCAACCUACCUAUCAGAGGGGAAUAACCCGGCGAAAGUCGGACUAAUACCGCAUAAAACAGGGACACCGCAUGGUGAUAUUUGUUAAAGAAAUUCGCUGAUAGAUGGGCAUGCGUUCCAUUAGGUAGUUGGUGAGGUAACGGCUCACCAAGCCGACGAUGGAUAGGGGAACUGAGAGGUUGGUCCCCCACACUGGUACUGAGACACGGACCAGACUCCUACGGGAGGCAGCAGUGAGGAAUAUUGGUCAAUGGGCGAGAGCCUGAACCAGCCAAGUCGCGUGAAGGAAGAGGGAUCUAUGGUUCGUAAACUUCUUUUGCAGGGGAAUAAAGUGCAGGACGUGUCCUGUUUUGUAUGUACCCUGAGAAUAAGGAUCGGCUAACUCCGUGCCAGCAGCAGC